rnacentral:rRNA from 1 species
CACGUAGGGGGGCGAGCGUUGUCCGGAUUCAUUGGGCGUAAAGGGUGCGUAGGCGGCGCGGUAAGUCGGGUGUGAAAUCUCGGAGCUUAACUCCGAAACUGCAUUCGAUACUGCCGUGCUUGAGGACUGGAGAGGAGACUGGAAUUUACGGUGUAGCGGUGAAAUGCGUAGAUAUCGUAAGGAAGACCAGUGGCGAAGGCGGGUCUCUGGACAGGUUCCUGACGCUGAGGCACGAAGGUCAGGGGAGCAAACGGGG